rnacentral:lncRNA from 1 species
GUUUAACUCAGUAGCUCUAGUAUCUCUCUGAUCCUCUCCCAGAGGGUCUGAAGCUUUCAGCCUCCUGAACGGGUAAGCUCCCCCUCUAGUGUUCACUGCUCAUCAAAUUAUUCCUCCAACAAAUAAGACAGGAACUGCCUGUUUUUUGAUUCCCUAUCGAAGGACGGAGCUUGAUUACUGUUUAAUGACACAAAGAGGAAAAGAUUCCUGAAGUGAUUAAUGAGGUCAUAUAUCCUACCAGGAAAGCUAGGUGUUGAAUGAAGGGUCCCCUUCUCACAUUUAGGGAA